GAUGAACGCUGGCGGCGUGCUUAACACAUGCAAGUCGAACGGAAAGGCUCCUGCUUGCAGGGGUACUCGAGUGGCGAACGGGUGAGUAACACGUGGGUGAUCUGCCCUUCACUUCGGGAUAAGCCUGGGAAACUGGGUCUAAUACCGGAUAGGACGAUGGUUUGGAUGCCAUUGUGGAAAGAUUUUUCGGUUUGGGGUGAGCUCGCGGCCUAUCAGCUUGUUGGUGGGGUAUUGGCCUACCAAGGCGUUGACGGGUAGCCGGCAUGAGAGGGUGUACGGCCACAUUGGGACUGAGAUACGGACCAGACUCCUACGGGAGGCAGCAGUGGGGAAUAUUGCACAAUGGGCGCAAGCCUGAUGCAGCGACGCCGCGUGGGGGAUGACGGCCUUCGGGUUGUAAACACCUUUCGCUAGGGACGAAGCGCAAGUGACGGUACCUGGAGAAGAAGCACCGGCUAACUACGUG
rnacentral:rRNA from 1 species